ACACCGGCGGCUCGAGUGGUAACCGUUAUUAUUGGGUCUAAAGGGUCUGUAGCCGGCCGGAUAAGUCUCUUGGGAAAUCUGGCAGCUCAACUGUCAGGCUAUCAGGAGAUACUGUCUGGCUCGAGGCCGGGAGAGGUGAGAGGUACUUCAGGGGUAGGGGUGAAAUCUUGUAAUCCUUGAAGGACCACCAGUGGCGAAGGCGUCUCCCCAGAACGGACCUGACGGCAAGGGACGAAAGCUAGGGGCACGAACCGGAUUAGAUACCCGGGUAGUCCUAGCCGUAAACGAUACUCGCUAGGUGUCGGCCACGGUGCGACCGUGGUCGGUGCCGUAGGGAAGCCGUGAAGCGAGCCACCUGGGAAGUACGGCCGCAAGGCUGAAACUUAAAGGAAUUGGCGGGG
rnacentral:rRNA from 1 species